GAACGAGGCCUUCGGGUCUAGUGGCGAACGGCGGAGUAAGACGUGAACAACGUGCCCCUAAGUCUGGGACAAACGCAGAAAUGCCAUGAAUACCAGAUGUGACCGGGAAGAGACAUCUCUUUCCGAUUAAAGGCUUUUCGCUUAGGGAGCGGUUCACGGCCUAUCAGCUAGUUGGUGGGGUAAAGGCCUACCAAGGCGACGACGGGUAGGGGGUCUGAGAGGAUGAUCCCCCCGAGUGGGACUGAGACACGGCCCACACACCUACGGGUGGCAGCAGUUGGGAAUCUUGCACAAUGGGGGAAACCCUGAUGCAGCGACGCCGCGUGGAGGAUGACGGAUUUAGGUCUGUAAACUCCUUUUGCAGGGAAAGACUUAGGACGGUACCCUGAGAAUAAGGACCGGCUAACUACGUGCCAGCAGCCGCGGUAAGACGUAGGGUCCGAGCGUUGUCCGGAUUUACUGGGCGUAAAGAGCGCGUAGGCGGUCCGUUAAGUGUGAAGUGAAAUCUCCAGAGCUCAACUCGGAAACUGCUUCGCAUACUGGCGGACUUGAGGAAUGCAGAGGUGAAUAGAAUUCCUGGUGUAGCGGUGAAAUGCGUAGAUAUCAGGAGGAAUACCCAUGGCGAAGGCAGUUCACUGGGCAUUAUCUGACGCUGAGGCGCGAAAGCGUGGGGAGCAAACAGGAUUAGAUACCCUGGUAG
rnacentral:rRNA from 1 species